rnacentral:tRNA from 1 species
GUCAGGAUGGCCGAGCGGUCUAAGGCGCCAGACUCAAGGACUGACUCCUUCCUUCCGUCAAAAGGGACUUCUGGUCUCCGAAUGGAGGCGUGGGUUCAAAUCCCACUUCUGACA